GGUCACAUGGCUCAGUUGGAAGAGCAUCCGCCUACGAAGCGGGAGGCCCCAGGUUCGAGCCCUGGUGUGAUCG